rfam:Myotis lucifugus cont2.48286, whole genome shotgun sequence.
GAGACACCCUUAUGGGGCAGGACUUGCUUCAGUGGGGCUUUGGUGCUCACUGAUUCUGCCCCUUGAGUGUGUCACU